GACCAGAAGAAGACUCAGAGAGAGAGAGAGAGAGGAGACCUCGACAGACACAGAGAGAGAAACAUCGACUGGCGAAGACCAGAAGAAGAAGGAAGAAGAUCGAAGCUGAGGAAGGAAGAAGAAGGUGUACCUUACGACGACGAGCGACGGCUGAGGAGCGACGACGAGCGACGACCGAUGACGAGCGACGGACGAGCGACUGACGAGCGACCAGGUUGUCUUUCUCCUCUGUUAUCUGUCUUCUCUCUUUCUCUUUUUGUUCUCUACUAACCUCUUAGAUCGAUUUAGGGCUUUUGAUUUAGGGCAAACAGAAUUUUUUUUGCUUUUUUACAGAUUGACCCCAAAAAUAUUUUAUAAAUUCUGAAAUUGACCCUAAAAAUGUUUUGUAAAUUCUGAAAUUGGCCCCGUGCGUGUCCGAAAGUGUCCAUAACGUGUCCUGGACGUGUCCGGCUUCAGAAAAAAUAAAAAAAAAAAUUGGACACUCUCUAGUGCGUGUCGGACACGUGUCCGCCGCGUGUCCGACGCGUGUCCGUGUCCGACACGUGUCCGACACUGGUACGGAGCCCUCGGAGAGGUGUCCGUGCUUCAUAGAGUGAGGGUUAUUAUACGGAGAUGUGGACUAAUGUCAUUGAUUUUUAUUCUAUGAAUGAAUUAAGUUGGAAUAGAAGUAAUAUUUUGUAUGUCCUUAAUUAAAACUAGACUUUAUUUCUUGGUUUUGAAUUUUCACAGUGUAAAGUCAGAUUACUUAUGCAGUGUUUGAAUUUUAAAUUUGUGGACGACAAGUAUAGAUAUAAAUUCUUUUCCUAAAAUAAAAAGUGUCUAAGUUGUGACCUCCAUGAAUAUGAGAAUUACAUGCCUCACUGUUAGCAUAUAAUUACAUGAACAUAUUGGAAAUAUGAGAAUUUUGAAACUUUCUAAUUGUUACUUCUCACGAAAUAUAUCUUUUAUAAACAAACUAUAGCAUUAAUUUGUUAAUUUUACGAAUAGUCACUAUCAAAGUCUAUCGAAAUGCCUUAGUACUCUAUAAUUUCUAGGGGGAAUUACAUUCUAGUGGGAUAGAAAAAAUUUUAUCACACAAAUAUGGAGGGAUGCAAGUCACACUUGCAAGAAUUACUUGCACCCCCCACAUGUUUUUGUAAUUUUUUUCUCUGUGCCCCAAUAUACUAUAAUUCCUCUCUCUCUCUCUCUCACUCACAUUUUAUGGAUAACUUUCAUCAUAGAUGAUUCUUCAUAUUGGAGGCAUGAUAGUGAUAUGAGUGGUACUAAUACAUGAAAGAAGCACUCCCAACCACUUCGAAUUAAUUCCCGUACCCACCACCUCCUGCACCACCAUUAUAAAUAUGAAUGGAUUUAUAUAAAGAAAUCUCAAAAAUCUUGUGUUGGGUACGUAAUGUGGAAAAAUGAAGUUGAUCAACCUAUUGUUUCUUUUGGGCUUGCUCUGGAUGCCCGACCUAGUUACUUGCCAAAGAACUUACAAUCAGUUCCAACUUGUCCAAGCUUGGAUACUGACCUUUUGCAAGAAAUACAGUGGUUGUUUUCCAAAUUUGGCGCCAAACUUCACCACCCUUCAUGGCCUUUGGCCAGCUACAAGAACCAAGAACUCAAUGUUGCAUUGUGGCACAAGGCGUCAGGAUAAUAAUAUUGGAACAUCCAAAUCGGAAGAAGAAAAGAAAGAAGAGAAGCAGACACAAAGAAGAAGAAGCUAACAAAGAGGAGAAGAAAAUAUAGGAAAAGAAACUGCAGAUAUGCAAAAACCUCAAGGGGUUGGCCUAGUGGCACAACUUGGGACCUGGGGAUGUGCUCCUUCCAGGUCUCAAUUUCACUACUCACUAGUUACAAUAAGCUCUUCGAGGCCAAUCCAUAUAGGGCGCUCACUCUGGCUUUAAAUGGAGCCCCCACAAGUGGGCGGUGGGAUUGGUCCACCGGGAUUAGUCGAGGUGCACUUAAGCUGGCCCGGAUACACAGUUAUAAAAAA